rnacentral:rRNA from 1 species
GACGAACGCUGGCGGUGUGCUUAACACAUGCAAGUCGAACGGUAAGGCCCUUUCGGGGGUACACGAGUGGCGAACGGGUGAGUAACACGUGAGUAACCUGCCCUCAUCUCUGGGAUAACAGUCGGAAACGGUUGCUAAUACUGGAUAUGAGCCUGCAAGGCAUCUUGUGGGUUGGAAAGAUUUUUUGGUUGGGGAUGGACUCGCGGCCUAUCAGCUUGUUGGUGAGGUAGUGGCUCACCAAGGCUUCGACGGGUAGCCGGCCUGAGAGGGCGACCGGCCACAUUGGGACUGAGAUACGGCCCAAACCCCUACGGGAGGCAGCAGUGGGGAAUAUUGCACAAUGGACGGAAGUCUGAUGCAGCAACGCCGCGUGCGGGAGGACGGCCUUCGGGUUGUAAACCGCUUUCAAUUGUGACGAAGCUUUUUGUGACGGUAGCAGUAGAAGAAGCACCGGCUAACUACGUG